rnacentral:rRNA from 1 species
AGAUUUUGUCCUUCGGGUACAAUUGAGACAGGUGGUGCAUGGUUGUCGUCAGCUCGUGUCGUGAGAUGUUGGGUUAAGUCCCGCAACGAGCGCAACCCUUGUGUUUAGUUGCAAACAGGUCAAGCUGUGCACUCUAGACAGACUGCCGUGGACAACACGGAGGAAGGUGGGGAUGACGUCAAAUCAUCAUGCCCCUUAUGAUCUGGGCUACACACGUGCUACAAUGGCCGGUACAACGGGCAGCGAAGGAGCGAUCCGGAGCGAAUCCUAAAAAGCCGGUCCCAGUUCGGAUUGCAGGCUGAAACUCGCCUACAUGAAGUUGGAGUUGCUAGUAAUCGCGAAUCAGAAUGUCGCGGUGAAUGCGUUCCCGGGUCUU